rnacentral:rRNA from 1 species
UACGUAGGGGGCAAGCGUUGUCCGGAUUUAUUGGGCGUAAAGAGCUCGUAGGCGGCUUGUCGCGUCGAAUGUGAAAUCUCAGGGCUCAACUCUGACAUUGCAUUCGAUACGGGCAGGCUAGAGUUCGGCAGGGGAGACUGGAAUUCCUGGUGUAGCGGUGAAAUGCGCAGAUAUCAGGAGGAACACCGGUGGCGAAGGCGGGUCUCUGGGCCGAUACUGACGCUGAGGAGCGAAAGCGUGGGGAGCGAACAGG